UUAUAAAUACGGAAAAUCGUUUCGGGCGACCUUUAAACUAGCAACUUAAUUUAGUCGGCGGCAACACUUACGCAGUAGCUAAUCUACUAUAAAUAAAAAUAUAUUGAACCAUUUUACGAUUGUCUUUGUUUAUCAUGUACGUCUACCGUGUUUAUUAUGUACGUUAUUUUUGAACGUUACAUUUUUAUGUGUUAUCAACGAGGAUUACUCGUGAUGAACGAACAUCGGAUAACGAUACAGGUAUGUAUGGAAAAAUAUAUCAACAUGACUAAAUUGUUUCAUAAACCGUAUUAUAGACAAUUCAUAAUGAAUCGCCAUUAAAAUGAUUUAAUAAAGUCAUUAUCAUGGCUAUAUUCUAAUUGAAUUACUAUAAGCAUUUUGAAAAACAAUAUAAUUAACUUCAAAUUUAUGGUAAAAGUUCGAAAAUAAACUUAUUAGAUGUAAAAAUUGGAUAAACGUUUUGGUAAAUUAAAUGGUGUAUUAGAAAUAAGAGCAUUAAUUUUUUUUAGCCGAAAAUUUUUAACUGGAUAAUUUAAUGCAAUUUUUUAUUUAGCCAUUGUAUUAAUCUUUUGAAAUAGAUAUUUAUUAAUAUUUUUUUUAAUAUGGAACAUGGAAACCACCCAAUGGUGACGAAUCAUCAAACAAACACGGGCAUGGAUCCAUUGAAAAAACCAAAUCGACCUCCUGCUGCAAAGACCGCUGGUUCUGACCUCCUCAUCAAAAUGUGUGCGAUUCCAAUCCGCCGAUCUCCCGCGCCGUGACAGUGUACAAUAGUUAGCAUACGACGGAUGCGGUUGUGUGGCAUACUAAUUCCAUUUACCGGCCCGUCGCCGGCUGCGUCAGUAUAGUUACUGGUAAAGUUAGUAAGUAAAGUGGUUGGAUGUAAUUGGGUGUCAUAUGAUUUGCAUAUAGAUUACGUAGAUAAUCGUGUAAAGUGGAAAAUUUAGGAUAUCGGUCGCUGACCCCAAGUAGUAGAAAUUAAGAAGACACAAUCUCAAAACUCAAUACUCAAUACUCAAAACACAGCCAAAAGUUUUGUUUAUUCCAUACAUGCUAAGUAAAGAAACAUAAUCAUAAGUUUCAUCUUAUAGGAGUUGCAACAUUCUAACUUUUUCAGGAGAGUAGGCCAAGAUUUUUAAAGAAGA